rnacentral:lncRNA from 1 species
AAAAGAAAGAAAGAAAGGAGAAAGAAGGAAUGAAAGAAAAAAGAAAGAAAGAAAAAGAAAGAAAGAAAGAAAGAAAGAAAGAAAGAAAGAAAGAAAGAAAGAAAGAAAAAAAAAAGAAAAUUAUGUCUUCUAUCUAGUUCUGUCAUCUCUUUUAGUGUGGCAUGGCAGAAAGAACAAUGUAUAUGCCCACACAAAUACCUGCUGAUGGAGAUACAAAUGUGAUAGAAAAACAUCUCCUGAGAGAGACAUUUGAGGACUCCAAUUGGAUACUCAAAGAGAUUCUCUGGUGACCAAAAGGAGCCUUCAGUGAUCAAAUAACUUCAGUUAAGAAUUCCUGGUUUAAGAUUUUACAGGAAUACAUUGAACAUCAGGUUGAUGAUGCAAUGAUGGCAAAUGCAGCCCAGAAAUUUCCCUUCAAUAUUCCUAAAAGCAAAGAAGGAUAUUAAUAUCAUCAAAUCUUUGAAUGCCAUUACCCAGGCCAGGCUGACUGGCUGAGCCAUUACUGGAUGCCCAAGUGGAUCAAUGCCACUGACCCUUCUGCCCACACACUGACCCACUACAAGUCAGCUGCCAAAGCUUAAGUGCUCUUUAUGCUGUAAUGUGAAAGCAAAUAUUUCUUCUUGCUGCGUGGGGAUUAUGGAUAGAUAGGGGAACAAUGACAGUCAAUUCAGGCUAACUUGGGUGUGAAAAAAAUAAAAGUCCUAAAUCUAAAA